ACACUUUUUGAAAUAUUGAAUUUCGAAGAAAUUUCGAAUCUUUUUUGUUUUUGCAACAUCUGAUAGAUCCUCCAUCGGAGGACAACAAAUGUUAAACUAAUUUUUGGAAAUGGGUGGAGUGUUUUAGGCGCUUGCCUCCACCUCUGCCACGGGUUGGCCCGGUAUUGCAGUAACGCCGGGAUUUCGGCCUUGAAUAA